CCUACGGGUGCGCAGCAGUGGGGAAUAUUGGGCAAUGGGCGCAAGCCUGACACAGCAACGCCGCGUGAAGGAAGAAGGCUUUCGGGUUGUAAACUUCUUUUGUCAUGGACGAAGCAAGUGACGGUACCUGACGAAUAAGCCACGGAUAACCACGUGCCAGCAGCCGCGGACAUACGGAGGUGGCAAGCGUUAUGCGGAUUGACUGGGUGUAAAGGGCGUGGAGGCGGGAACGCAAGUCAGAGUUGAAAACCACGGGCUCAACCUGUGGCCUGCAUUUGAAAAUUUAGUUCUUGAGUACUGGAGAGGCAGACGGAAGUCCUAGUGUAGCGGUGAAAUGCGUAGAUAUUAGGAGGAACACCAGUGGCGAAGGCGGUCUGCUGGACAGCAACUGACGCUGAGGCGCGAAAGCGUGGGGAGCAAACAGGAUUAGAUACCCCAGUAGUC
rnacentral:rRNA from 1 species